rnacentral:tRNA from 1 species
GCGGGCGUAGCUCAGUGGCUAGAGCAUCUGCUUGCCAUGCAGAAGGUCGUGGGUUCGAAUCCCAUCGCCCGCU